GCUGCUGCUGUUGCUGCUGCGACGCCGAGGACGAGCCGGCGGUCAGGCCGUCCAGCACCUUCCUGAUGUUGAAUUUCCUCAUGGUCUCGGAGGGGCUCCCCCGCAGCCCGGGAGGGGAGGCACAGGGGGUCCCCGGGCGGGGGAGACCACCCGGGGCCGAAGGCAGCUUCGACCGCGGAAACGGAGGAGUGGGAGUGUGAGGAGAAAUAUGCAAUGAUGACAUUUCCAAGAAGUGAUGGCAUCUGGCGCUAAGGACAAAGAAUGGGAUUUUGCCACAGGGAUCUUAUUCUCCCACAUGUUCUGUCUGAAGGAGAAAGUUAUCUGAGGCCUUAUAUGAUGCAAAACUUUGGACUCAAAGAAAUUAAAUCACUUGCCCAAGGUUACAUAGCUGCCCCUGGCAAACACCAUUCUACUUUCCGUCUCUAUGAAUUUGACUACUCGAAGUACCUCAUGUGAAAUGUUGGUGCCAAAUGAACUUUUCUGGUUCUUCUGAAUAUGCCACUGUUGCUGGAGAAAUGUCACUGCUAGAGAACAGAAGACUAUUAUUCCAAAGGGUAUUUGAGACUGACUGAAUCAGGUCUGGAACAUUAUUGAAAUGAGACCCACAAAAGAAGAGAUACUGAGGUGGUGACCAGAUGGAUAUAAACGGGCUGUGGAAAAAGAGAAUGCAUGGCCAAAAAUGGUGGUGCUCUCUGUCCAAAAACUGAGGCCCUAUGACCAUGAAUGAAGCCAGAGGGCAGGUAGGAAUAGAUCAUUUGCUCCAGAAGAAGCUGGUUGCCAUGUCUUGAGGACAGUAAACCCUCUGGGGAGGUUCCUGUGGUAAGGAACAAGGGCUCCUGGCAAUAGCCUCUGAGUGAGCCACCUUGAAAAUGGAUUGUCCAGCCCCAGUCAAGCUUUCAGAUGACUGUAGCUCCUGCCAAUGUCUUCACCACAACCUCAUGAGAUCCCAAGCUACAACCACUCAGUUAAGUUAUGCCAAAAUUCCUGAUUCACAGAAAUUGACAUACAGGAGAGGUCACAGUUAAGAUCUUGAUGUUCUAUCUUGACCCAUAAUAUAGGAACUUCAUCUUUUGGGAAGCACCAGGGAGAGCUGCCUGUGCCUGGCAGAAGCUGCCCAUGCCCCACUGAUACCCCACAGUACUUCCUGUUCUGCUUAGUACUCCUGCUUCUUUCUACAAACAACUGUGAUUCUCUACCUGGGAGCUUCCUCUGGCCACAGGAGCCUGCUCACCUGAUUGGGACACCCUAGCAGUACUGGCUCAUAGAUGGAAGGGACUUGCCUUGUCGCUGAUGAGACUUUCGACUUGGACUUUUGAGUCAAUGCUGGAAUGAGUUAAGACUUUGGGGAACUGUUGGAAGGGUGUGAUUGUGUUUUGAAUUGUGAGGACAUGAGAUUUUGAAGAGGCUAAUGGCAGCGUCCCCACCUAAAUCUCUUCUUGAAUUGUAGUUCCCAUAAUCCCCACGUGUCGUGGGGUGGAGCCGGUGGAGAUAAUUGAAUCAUGGGAACACUUUCCCCCAUGCUGUUAUUGUGAUUGUGAAUUCUCACGAGAUCUGAUGGUUGUAUAAACGCCUUCCCUCUUCGCUGGGCACUCAUUUUUCUCCUUCCUGCCACCAUGUGAAGAAGGAUAUGCUUGCUUCUUGUGCCAUGAUUACAAGAACACACUCAGAAAUUUUCUCAACACAGUUUCUAUGCAGAGAAGAGAUGUGGGACAGAUUUGAACUGCUGUCAUAUUUGUAUGAACCCAAGACAUUUUCCAAGACCAAGAGGGAUAAAGACAGCAAUUUCUAUGACUGGCAUUUUACGUGCAUGCACUGUUUCCAAGUGUUCUUGUGUUCUGUGCCUUAAACAUUCUGUGUUGCAACUUUAUGAAUUGAAUUAAAGAUAAUCCCAAGCCCCCAAUUGUCUCAAAAAGUGAAAAAGUAAAUGUUAUAGAAAGAAAAGCGGGAAAAACUUUAAGCAUGAAAUAAAAGAUGGGUUGUGAUAAAAGAGGACUGAAGAAGGAAAAGGAAUGAAAGGUUCUGCCAUCCUUCAUGGCAGCCCACUCCACUUGGUAUGAGAUACUGCUCCCUUGGCUGAAAGUUAACUGCUGUACUCCCUCCACUUUCUAUAAAUGACUCCCUGUGCCUUUCCUUCACCACACAACUCACACUCUCUUCCUUCCUAGUGAGUCCACUAAGGCUUCACUGCAUUAUUACAUUUAUUUCAUUUAGGAAAAACUGACUUUAUUUUCCUUCAAAUUGUUUUUUAUUGUUUAUAUGAGCUUGGUUUUAUUGUCAUUCUAUUUUUCUCCAUGAAAAUAGAGAAAAAUAGGGUCGAAAGGUUAGGUUGGGUGGAAAGGAAUUAUAUUUUUUCUCACUAAAAUUGAUGUAAAUAUCGUUUUCAAUUGAAUGAUUUUACACAGUGGCACAGUUUCAGGUAUGUUGCUAAGCAGGAAAGUUGUUAACCAAAGCAUGAAUGUAUUAAGGAGAUGUAUGCAGAAUGACAUGCAAGGUUAUCUAUGAUUGCUGAGUGAGAAAGAGCAAGUUGCUGAGUAUUAUAUAAGUAUGAUCUCACUUUUGUAAAAAAAAAAAAAAAAAAAGGCCUGGACUGAUCUGAAAUGACCCUAUUAAUAACAAUUAUGUCCAGGUCUGUAUUGCAUACUUGUCAUUCAUUACAGGAUCUUGAGACACAAUGCAAAGGAUCACAUCGCAGCUCUGUAACUUGUUAACUAUAAGAUUUUGAGUAACAUAACACCUUACUCCUUAAAAUUGCUUAAAAAAAAUCUGAACAUCAGGAAUAUUCUACUUCACAGGGUCGUUGUGAUAAUUAAAUGUAGUAAUCAAUGACAAUAGUGCCAGAUACAGUAGAUAGCCUACACUUUGCAGCUACUAUUUCUAUCUAUCAUCCAUCUAUUAAUAUAUAUCAUCUAUCUUUAACUUAUCAUCUAUCUUGUUCCAGUUUUUUAAAAUGAACAUGUAUUAACUUUGUAAAAAAUUAAGGCUAUAAGAUGUGCUGAGCUUUUGGAAUAGAUUUUCCUGUACUAUAUAUGACUGCCAGUGGGAGAAUUUGAAUAAAUGUGUAAAUUUGACUAA
rnacentral:lncRNA from 1 species